rnacentral:rRNA from 1 species
UUCCGGUUGAUCCUGCCGGAAGCCGCUGCUAUCCGGCUGGGACUAAGCCAUGCGAGUCAAGGGGCUUGCAUCCCCUCGGGGAUGCAAGCACCGGCGGACGGCUCAGUAACACGUGGACAACCUGCCCUCGGGUGGGGGAUAACCCCGGGAAACUGGGGCUAAUCCCCCAUAGGUGAUAGGUGCUGGAAUGCCCUAUCACCGAAAGCGCUUAGCGCCCGAGGAUGGGUCUGCGGCGGAUUAGGUAGUUGGCGGGGUAACGGCCCGCCAAGCCGAAGAUCCGUACGGGCCAUGAGAGUGGGAGCCCGGAGAUGGACCCUGAGACACGGGUCCAGGCCCUACGGGGCGCAGCAGGCGCGAAACCUCCGCAAUGCGGGAAACCGCGACGGGGCUAGCCGGAGUGCCGAUGCCUCGCAUCGGCUGUCGGGGAGCCUAAAAAGCUCCCCACAGCAAGGGCCGGGCAAGGCCGGUGGCAGCCGCCGCGGUAAUACCGGCGGCCCGAGUGGCGGCCACUAUUAUUGGGCCUAAAGCGUCCGUAGCCGGUCUGGCAAGUCCCCCGGGAAAUCUGGUCGCUCAACGAUCAGGCUUCCGGGGGAGACUGCCAGACUAGGGACCGGGAGAGGCCGGGGGUAUUCCCGGGGUAGGGGUGAAAUCCUGUAAUCCCGGGAGGACCACCUGUGGCGAAGGCGCCCGGCUGGAACGGGUCCGACGGUGAGGGACGAAGGCCUGGGGAGCGAACCGGAUUAGAUACCCGGGUAGUCCAGGCUGUAAACGAUGCGGGCUAGGUGUCGCGAUAGCCACGAGCUAUCGCGGUGCCGGAGGGAAGCCGUUAAGCCCGCCGCCUGGGAAGUACGGCCGCAAGGCUGAAACUUAAAGGAAUUGGCGGGGGAGCACUACAACGGGUGGAGCCUGCGGUUUAAUUGGAUUCAACGCCGGA